AUCAUUCGGGAUUACCCUUAUGGAGAGCCUCUAAUUCUGCCUGAAGGAUUAGGGAAACAGGGUUCAAAUGCUAUUCAUCAGCUCUGUCUUUCAGGGAGCACCAGGGAAGUCAACCAGUGCCUGACCUAUCGCUGAAACACUCCAUUUCCAAGUGUCAGAGAAAGGUCACCUAAAGAUGAGGAAAGAAGGAGACUUCGCUGCCCAAGAUCAAAAUCUAGUAAAUGGUAGAACUGGAAUUUGCAUCAAGGUGAACUCUAGGGCUAGCUAUUACCUUGCAGAGAUGUCACACCAGAACUCACAAGAUGCCGUGGGAUUGGAUGAGCCCCAGGAUCACUUUCCAUUUUCACAUAUAAGGACUCUAGAUUGCUGAUAUUCCAUGAAAAAACUGGAAACUUGAUAGGAUACAUGUGUUUCAUGAAACGAAGUGAUUCACCAGUGAAAAAUGAAGACAGUAAAGCUACAAUAUUCUCUGACGUACCUCCUUUGGGAUGACUUUUGUAUUUUGUUUGUGGUUUUUUUUCCUUUUUUCGGUAUGCGGGCCUUUCACUGUUGUGGCCUCUCCCGCUGCGGAGCACAGGCUCCGGAUGCGCAGGCUCAGCGGCCAUGGCUCACGGGCCCAGCCGCUCCGCGGCAUGUGGGAUCUUCCCGGACCGGGGCACGAACCCGUGUCCCCUGCAUCGGCAGGCGGACUCUCAACCACUGCGCCACCAGGGAAGCCCUUGUUUGUGUAUUUUCACUUGCAGGACUGUGAUCAGAAAAGGAACCACCUGUUGAUUCAAGGCAUACGUUUUCACCCAAAAUUUUUAAUGACUAGACAUUGUACUUAAGUCACCCUUUUACAUGCGUGAAUUUAAUAAGACUAAAACACCAAAUAUUCACCACCUUCAGUGCCAGCAGGAACACACUGUCAUCAUAAAACAGAUGCAAGAUCACAGCUUCUUUAUGUUCAUACUGGCAUUUGAAAACUCCCCAUGAAUGGUCCCUCUUCCCAUGAGAUGUGGAGGAACAUUCCAAGGUUUUGUAGCCAGAAAACUUAUGUUUUCUCUCAUUUAAAAUAUGCAUUCGGAUGCCCAACAGGUUAAGCAUGAGGAUUAAGUGAAAUAAUAUAUGGAAACUACCUGUCAAAUGGGAGAGGGUGAACAUAUUUUCGUUCUUUGGCCUUCAUCUCCUCACUAAAGGCUCUUCCGUUCACCUUCUGCCGGUCUUCAUGAAUUUUCAGAAGGGAGCCUCUGUCCUGGUUGAGCAAAUCUGCUUUCUGAUGUCUAGAUGUGACAUAAUAUACCUUCUUAUCCCACGCAAAAUGCUUUCCACACUCUUCUCUGUGACUCUCAUGGGGUAUAUUUGAUCACAGCUGUUCUGGGAAGACUUCUGUGGUUUGAAUCCCUUGGUACAAUUUGGUCCAAUAUUUGUACCUUUUACCGUACAGGUUGGCAUUUGAAGAUGUAUUACUUUGUAAUGCUUUUGAAGUAUUUUUACCUACGUGUGUUCUAUAUUCCAGACAACUUUGCAAGAAAAGGCUCUGUUUUGUUGUAGUCAGACUGAAUAGGGAAGGUUGAAUUAGUUCAGAACACUUUAAUGGAGAGAAAUAUACACAUUGGAAUGCACGAAAAGGAGACCAGCUAGGAUCAUGAGGGAACUUGAAAAUUUCCAUAUAAGAAAUGGUUGAAGAACUUGGGCCAUUUAUCCUGGAGAAGACAAAGGUUGAUGGGAAUUGAAGAUAAAUUGUCUUUUCUACAAACAGUUAAAGAGUUACCAGGAGGAAGCAGUAUUGACAUUUUUCCGAAUUAAGGCUCACGAUACAAAGCUAUAAGCAAGAACUUUCUAACAGACACAGCUGUCCAGAGAUGAGUUCUCUGGCUUUGCAAGUAUUCAUAUGUGGGCUGAAAAGGCCUUGUUUGGAAUAUUGUAUAAAAUUUUGAAGCACCAGAUAGCUAAUGAGACAGGAGGAACCUUGAAGUUCCUUCUAACUCUGGUUUUGUUUUUCAUUCCAGACAGAAAGUGCUUCUAGACUACGUUGUGUUUGUUGAACGGAUAAAUGAAUGUUUCUCACACAGUGAGGUCUUGGCAGAUGUACUCCAACUGACAUGUUGUAGGAGCCUUCAAUAAAUACUCAAU